GCCCGGCUGGCUCAGUUGGUGGAGCGUGUGAUUCUUGAUCUCAAGUUGUGACUCAUUGAGGUCCCACGUUGGGCA
rnacentral:tRNA from 1 species